GGGCGCUUAGCUCAGUUGGUAGAGCAUUUCUUUGACGUAGAAAGGGUCAGAGGUUCGAGUCCUCUAGCGCCCA
rnacentral:tRNA from 1 species